rnacentral:rRNA from 1 species
AAACUUACCAGGUCAAGACAUGGGCGUGAUUGACAGGCUAAUGACUUUUCUCGAUUCCAUGGAUGGUGGUGCAUGGUCGCACUUAGUUGGUGCAGUGAUUUGUCAGGUUUAUUCCGGUAACGAACGAGACCUCGGCCUUGUAAAUAGCUAUGCUGCUUACAGGGACAUUGGCGGCUACGCCAAGGAAGCUCGAGGCAAUUGCAGAUCUGGAAUGCCCUUAGAUGUCCUGGGUCGCACGCGUGCUACAAUGACGCCACGAACGAGCUUGCGUGAUGAAAGUUACGCAUAAUCAGCAGUCGGCGUCUUAAGGGAUAGUCUCUUGUAACUGUGGGACUCCAACUAGGAAUGUCUCGUAAGCACAAGUCAACAUCUUGUGUUGAUUACGUCCCUGCUCUUUGUACACACCGCCCGUCGCUCCUACCGAUCGAGUGUUUAGGUGAAUUUGAUGGACGUAAGGAAGUCGAAUAAACCUGAGCACUAGAGAAGAGAAGUCGAGAUCC